rnacentral:miRNA from 1 species
CGAUCAGCCCCGCUAGCAACAAUA